rnacentral:rRNA from 1 species
CCUACGGGGGGCAGCAGUGGGGAAUAUUGGGCAAUGGGCGCAAGCCUGACCCAGCAACGCCGCGUGAAGGAAGAAGGCUUUCGGGUUGUAAACUUCUUUUAUAAAGGAAUAAAGUGAGGCACGUGUGCCUUUUUGUAUGUACUUUAUGAAUAAGGAUCGGCUAACUCCGUGCCAGCAGCCGCGGUAAUACGGAGGAUCCGAGCGUUAUCCGGAUUUAUUGGGUUUAAAGGGCGUGUAGGCGGGAGCGCAAGUCAGAUGUGAAAACUCAGGGCUCAACCCUGAGCCUGCAUUUGAAACUGUGUUUCUUGAGUGCUGGAGAGGCAAUCGGAAUUCCGUGUGUAGCGGUGAAAUGCGUAGAUAUACGGAGGAACACCAGUGGCGAAGGCGGAUUGCUGGACAGUAACUGACGCUGAGGCGCGAAAGCGUGGGGAGCAAACAGGAUUAGAUACCCGGGUAGUC